CGGAGGGAUCAUUACCGAGUUUACAACUCCCAAACCCCAAUGUGAACGUUACCAAUCUGUUGCCUCGGCGGGAUUCUCUUGCCCCGGGCGCGUCGCAGCCCCGGAUCCCAUGGCGCCCGCCGGAGGACCAACUCCAAACUCUUUUUUUCUCUCCGUCGCGGCUCCCGUCGCGGCUCUGUUUUAUUUUUGCUCUGAGCCUUUCUCGGCGACCCUAGCGGGCGUCUCGAAAAUGAAUCAAAACUUUCAACAACGGAUCUCUUGGUUCUGGCAUCGAUGAAGAACGCAGCGAAAUGCGAUAAGUAAUGUGAAUUGCAGAAUUCAGUGAAUCAUCGAAUCUUUGAACGCACAUUGCGCCCGCCAGUAUUCUGGCGGGCAUGCCUGUCCGAGCGUCAUUUCAACCCUCGAACCCCUCCGGGGGGUCGGCGUUGGGGAUCGGCCCCUCACCGGGCCGCCCCCGAAAUACAGUGGCGGUCUCGCCGCAGCCUCUCCUGCGCAGUAGUUUGCACACUCGCACCGGGAGCGCGGCGCGGCCACAGCCGUAAAACACCCCAAACUUCUGAAAUGUUGACCUCGGAUCAGGUAGGAAUACCCGCUGAA
rnacentral:rRNA from 1 species